ACCCGUCACCCGUCCUCUACCCGUUCUCACCUACAUAGUGAACGUAUCUCCGAGCAAACUCGAAGACCCAACGAACUCGAACAGUUUGUACCCCACACCAGGAUUUGUUAGCCGGGUACUGGUACUUUGAUAACAAAAAACCAUAGCAAACAAAAAAGGUAACUCCCACAUGAAUUUUGGUGGGGGGUAUAAAACUGUUUGUUCGUGUCGUUCGCCACUUUCUCGCUCGGACCACUUCCGCACUAGCGCGCCCACGGAAGAGAGCCGACCGGCCCAUUCCCCGACACACCAAACAGCUGUCUUCCAUGGACGACGUUAGCACGUGACACCUAACCUCCGUCCAGCUAUGUAUAUACAGUGAGGGAAGCGAACAGGACAGCAACUGGAGAAUAACUGGAAAUUAGACAUAGCAACCAUCAGGGCGAUUUAUUCAAUUAGCCAAAGAGGCAGAAAGGCUGGGCAGAGGAAGGGAUGUCCAACAUCAAACAGUCAAUCCCUACCCCCU
rnacentral:sRNA from 2 species